AGAGUUUGAUCCUGGCUCAGAUUGAACGCUGGCGGCAUGCUUUACACAUGCAAGUCGAACGGUAACAGGGGAGCUUGCUCCCGCUGACGAGUGGCGAACGGGUGAGUAAUGCAUCGGAACGUACCGAGUAAUGGGGGAUAACUAUCCGAAAGGAUGGCUAAUACCGCAUACGAUCUUAGGAUGAAAGUGGGGGACCUUCGGGCCUCACGUUAUUCGAGCGGCCGAUGCCUGAUUAGCUAGUUGGUAGGGUAAAAGCCUACCAAGGCUACGAUCAGUAGCGGGUCUGAGAGGAUGAUCCGCCACACUGGGACUGAGACACGGCCCAGACUCCUACGGGAGGCAGCAGUGGGGAAUUUUGGACAAUGGGGGCAACCCUGAUCCAGCCAUGCCGCGUGUCUGAAGAAGGCCUUCGGGUUGUAAAGGACUUUUGUUAGGGAGGAAAAUUUAUCCAUUAAUACUGGGUAAAGCUGACAGUACCUAAAGAAUAAGCACCGGCUAACUACGUGCCAGCAGCCGCGGUAAUACGUA
rnacentral:rRNA from 1 species